UAGUAUUCAUCAUGGUAUAGGCUGCUCUUCAACACCCCUUAUCGUUUAGAUCAUCAAGCCAAUCAACGUAUUCAAUUGUAGACUACUCUAUUUCUCACAUUAUAUAGUGGGCAAUCAAUGAUUCAGUUGUUUUUGGAUAAGACUAGCAAAGUAGCUGAUGAGAGCCGUUAUUAAGAAGCAGUGACCAUGCUUUUGUUAAAACAAAAAAAAAAGUGCUACACUGAAAUAGCAAAGCAGAAUUACAAUUUUUAAAUGUUUUUGGUUGGCACACUUUUCCCGCUUCAUCAGCCUUAUAUAUUUUUUAUGCUCUAAAAAAAUGUAAGUAUGUUCACCUGGAAAUAUGUGGCGAUGUGCAUUAGUGUGAGUGCAUAUAACUCUUAAUAGGUUGUGUUCUGAAAUGUGACACCACAUUUAAGCACACUGUGUAGCAGUCAGUAUUUAUGGAUCAUGCCAGUUCAUUUCAUUUCCGAUUUUUGGAAUUACAGAUGUCCAAUCAACAGAAUAUGAACCUGGGAGAUGUUUAUGAUUGAUUUGUUGAAAUUUUGACAUUUAUCUUACUAAUCUUUUAAUAAUGCACGGGGGAAACCUGUUAUAAUAAAUUGUUUACAAUUUUUUCAGAGGAACAUUCUUAAAAAUGUGCACCAUCAAAUGAGUUUGAGAUCAGUGAUGCUAAGAAUUCCACUUUUUGCAUAUUUGUUUCCUGUUGGACAAGCCAACUGUCAGCUUUAGAUCAGAUUCUUGUUUGAAGAGCAGUGGAGCACAGAUUACGGUAAUUCUAAUCUUAAACAUUGUAUUUUAUGUCAUGCUUGUGAGGCUCAGCUCUGUUAUAAAUAACUAAAUUACUUACUGAGUUGCAGUGAGAAAGGAGAUAAAUACGGUGAGGGGGCAGGACUGUCACAUCUGUGCCAUAGAAGCUGCAAAGACUACAAAUACACAAGGACGCGACUGAGCUCUGGAUUCUCCAAGACAUAAGAAGUAUAGCAGGAAAAGGCCCACGUGACUCAGAAGAUUUAUCCUCAAGGGCAGAACUGAGAGAGACUUUCUGCAUAUUUCAUGAGUCUUCAGCAUUAAAGCUACACAUCAGAUAUUCAGCCCAUCUUGGACUUCUAAAGAGCAGUAUUUACCCUCAAUUUCACAGGAUUUUUUGAUUCUAAAAAUAAUCCAUCUGUGGGUGUGUACCAGGAUGCCCACCAUCCGCCGCACACUGUGUCCACUUUCCUCUGGGACUCAUGCCUAGUGCCAGGGGCAUCAGCCACCCAGACACUACUGUCAGCAUCGGGACACGGGGUCAGAGAGAGGGAAACCAGGAGAAUUACAGAGAGAGAUGGAGAGAGAAUGUGUUUUAGAGGGAGGGCAGGAGGAGGAAGAGAGAAAAACAGGAACAAACCGGAUUCUCCAUCCUGUAGGAGACAGACAGACCGACGGGUCUGGUAGGGAGGCUGGAGGUUUGUUCUCCUUGAAAAAACAGACAGCAACUCUGUAUUUUUUCAAAAUCAGCAAGAGAUGUAGAGGUGUCAGCAGAUGCAUAAUGCAACAGGGCGUCAACUCGUAGCAGACAGUCAGUUAAGUACCACACACACACACACACACACACGUUUACAGUGUGUGUAAUGGGGCGGUCUUUUUUUCUUCACAAUCCAUCAUUUCUCUGCAGACCCCCUGCUCAGAAACUCUUUACACCAGAAUGGUGUGGUUGUGUCUUUCACUCACUCUCUUUCUUGCCUAUAGGAAAGUGAAUAUUUUAUCAUCAGAAACGGCCAUCCUCAGACCUAUUCAUAGUUUAGUCCCUAAUGAGUAAUUCAUUUGAGGCUUCUGCAAAAAAUAUGUAUGCAUAAUUAAUGGAUUAUGAUCUUUAAGUAUUCAUGAGCCACUCACUACAUGGGUGAAACACCCUCCAAGGUCCUUGUGGCUGCAUGGUCUGAGAUAAGUAUUGAGAUUUAUAUUUUAGAUGUGUAUUUCUAAGUCCUGUUGUACUUAAAUUAGCUUUGUAAUUGAUUAUUUUCACUUAUUUGCUGGACAUCAUGAGUGAAGCUAAAGUGUAGCCUAACUGUAACUCUGACUAAGGUUCAACUUCUGCCUUCCUCAUCCAUCAUCAUCAUAAAAGCUGCAACAUUAGUCCUUUUUUGAUCUAAUUGAUCAAUGGAUAAUGUCCAUUGUUUGAGCUUUAAUAACACACUUUUUUUGUCUUUAACAAUUCAAUUUUAUUAUUAAACUUAAAAACAUUUUUAAAUUCAUAGUGACAAAUAUUCUGUUUCCCUCCCAUUUGUAUCCUCCCAAAAUUGUUUUUCAAUUUUAUUAAAACAUGCAUUGAUUCAUUAUAUGAGUUCUGCAGCCUAUGUUUCGGAGAUUAUGUUGGUUUUUGUGAAAAAAAAAAACUUUUUUUUCCCCACUUCAACUAAAUGCUAUGUAUGAAAAAGCACUUUGCAUCUUUUUAAUCAAACGUUUUCUUUUACCUUCCUUUAACUACACUAAACCAUCCUCAG